UACGUAGGGGGCGAGCGUUGUUCGGAUUUACUGGGCGUAAAGGGCGCGUAGGCGGCGGGUCAAGUCGAGUGUGAAAGCCCCGGGCUCAACCUGGGAGGUGCGCUCGAGACUGGUCUGCUAGAGUUCGGGAGAGGAGCGUGGAAUUCCCAGUGUAGAGGUGAAAUUCGUAGAUAUUGGGAAGAACACCGGUGGCGAAGGCGGCGCUCUGGACCGAGACUGACGCUGAGGCGCGAAAGCGUGGGGAGCAAACAGG
rnacentral:rRNA from 1 species